rnacentral:rRNA from 1 species
UACGUAGGGUGCGAGCGUUAAUCGGAAUUACUGGGCGUAAAGCGUGCGCAGGCGGUUCGUUGUGUCGGCGGUGAAAGCCCCGGCUCAACCUGGGAAUGGCCGUUGAAACUGGCGAACUGGAGUGUGGCAGAGGGGGGUGGAAUUCCGCGUGUAGCAGUGAAAUGCGUAGAGAUGCGGAGGAACACCGAUGGCGAAGGCAGCCCCCUGGGCUGACACUGACGCUCAGGCACGAAAGCGUGGGGAGCAAACAGG